AAACACCAUCAGCAACGGCUUCCACGCGCGCCACGCUCCACGCCCACGAACGACUUCUCCAUGCCAUACACACCUGCAACAGAAAAUAACCACAAGUAAUGGACAGCAAAUGACAGCAAAUGACAGCAAAUGACGGUGAUGAAAUUUGUAUUUUUUAUUUUAUUUCAUUUAUUUAUUUUUGUUUUUUCGGCUAUAAAACCGAAGGAAAACGAUGUAAAUCGGAUGGGGGGUUUUUUCCCAGAAAUAAGCACGCAUACACACUUGAUACACAAAUUGAAUCUUCAUUUUUUCUUUUGAAUCUGUUAUUUUUUUUUUUCUAGAUUUUGCAUGUGGUUCUUUUUUGCAUAAGAAAGUAAAGAAGGGAGAGCAUACCUUCAAAGAAGCCAUCGGAAGCCGUAUCUUCUUCUUUGAAAUUGACGCUAAUAGAAC
rnacentral:lncRNA from 1 species